CAGUAGCCGCGGGAAUACAGAGGAUGCAAGCGUUAUCCGGAAUCAUUGGGUUUAAAGGGUCCGUAGGCGGUUUAGUAAGUCAGUGGUGAAAGCCCAUCGCUCAACGGUGGAACGGCCAUUGAUACUGCUGAACUUGAAUUAUUAGGAAGUAACUAGAAUAUGUAGUGUAGCGGUGAAAUGCUUAGAGAUUACAUGGAAUACCAAUUGCGAAGGCAGGUUACUACUAAUUGAUUGACGCUGAUGGACGAAAGCGUGGGGAGCGAACAGGAUUAGAGACCCCAGUAGUCCCUGUCUCUUAUAC
rnacentral:rRNA from 1 species